AGGAGAGGUGCUGCCGCGGUGGCCCCGAAUACAGGGAUCCCCAGAUUGAUAAGGAAUGUUACCUCAGACUUUUAGGGAGCUGACUGAGGAGGAAGUGUGAGGACAGCUCAGGAAGACUCAGAUCAUCAAGCUGGCCCAGCAGCGAAAAUAAACUCUGUACUCGGAGACCCAGUGACAAGUAAAUUGACGAACACGAGGAAGCAAAGUAUUGGCCAGAACACUCACAACGGAGACACAGGAAGCUGUGCAAAGGGAGCCGAUUGAGCAGUGCUGUGCUGCUUUUGCAGAGGGACAGCAUCAUCGACCAUAACUCAUGGACCGCCUUCCACCAGGCCCUAGAAAUCCCAGAGCCUGAGGGGUGGCUGUUUCUAUCAGGCGUCUGCGCCGCAAGCUGACCAGUGUGGCCGCUUCCUGACCAGGCGUACUGGGAGAAGCAGCCCCAGUGGAGGGUGGGGCCUGAGAAGCCGUCACACCAGUUGCGGGUGGCUCUCCGCAACGGCGCCAGAUACAACUUAUGGGGGAGAAGAGUUGUCUUAAGUCGCCUAAACACCUGAAGAAAAUAUAUCUGAGAAUGUUGCUGAGAAUCUUGAGAUUUGAAGGAAGAAGCUCAUAGCAGUGGAUGGAGAUGGGGCACGCCCCAGAGAGUAGCUGCUCCCGAGUACUCCUUCAGGUUCCCAGAAUAUGACCAGCAGAGCAGACUUGAAGCCAGAUAACAGCCUGGAGCCAAGCCCAGCUGAGCCUAGCAGAGCCACACCCAAUUCACAGACCUGGCAAAAAUCUUGGAAGUUGGCUCCACAUGGACUAAAUGUCCUAGAAAAGCUUCUAAAAACAGGAGCAUCCUGGUUAAGAGUUUGAGCUUUGAGUCAGAUAGACAUGGAUUUUACUCCCAGAUCUGCCACUUAGCUCUGUGAUCUUAGAUGGAGCCUGAACUGUGGGAUUUUGAUUAGCAUCAAAGGGAGGUCUAGCGCAUGCAUGCCACAGAAGUUGCUCACAGCAGAAAUGAGGUACUCCCCUCUUUGCAAAGACCUUUGAAACCCCGAGACUGCA